rnacentral:rRNA from 1 species
AGCGAACGCUGGCGGCAGGCCUAACACAUGCAAGUCGAACGAACCUUUCGGGGUUAGUGGCGGACGGGUGAGUAGCACGUGGGAACGUACCUUUAGGUUCGGAAUAACUCAGGGAAACUUGUGCUAAUACCGAAUGUGCCCUUCGGGGGAAAGAUUAAUCGCCUUUAGAGCGGCCCGCGUCUGAUUAGCUAGUUGGUUGAGGUAAUGGCUCACCAAGGCGACGAUCAGUAGCUGGUCUGAGAGGAUGAUCAGCCACAUUGGGACUGAGACACGGCCCAAACUCCUACGGGAGGCAGCAGUGGGGAAUCUUGCGCAAUGGGCGAAAGCCUGACGCAGCCAUGCCGCGUGAAUGAUGAAGGUCUUAGGAUUGUAAAAUUCUUUCACCGGGGACGAUAAUGACGGUACCCGGAGAAGAAGCCCUGGCUAACUUCGUG